rnacentral:rRNA from 1 species
AGAGGAUGAUCGGCCACACUGGAACUGGAACACGGUCCAGACUCCUACGGGAGGCAGCAGUGGGGAAUAUUGCGCAAUGGGCGAAAGCCUGACGCAGCGACGCCGCGUGAGGGAUGAAGGUCUUCGGAUCGUAAACCUCUGUCAGAGGGGAAGAAGUGUGUCUAUUCAAAUAGGGUAGGCAUUUGACGGUACCCUCAAAGGAAGCACCGGCUAACUCCGUGCCAGCAGCCGCGGUAAUACGGAGGGUGCGAGCGUUAAUCGGAAUUACUGGGCGUAAAGCGCACGUAGGUGGUUUUGUAAGUCAGGGGUGAAAUCCCACCGCUCAACGGUGGAACAGCCUUUGAUACUGCAUCACUAGAGUAUCGGAGAGGGUGGCGGAAUUCCAGGUGUAGGAGUGAAAUCCGUAGAUAUCUGGAGGAACACCGGUGGCGAAGGCGCCCACCUGGACGAAAACUGACACUGAGGUGCGAAAGCAUGGGGAGCAAAAAGGAUUAGAUACCCUGGUAGUCCAUGCUGUAAACCCCCCGGAAGGGGGUGCUGGGGAGAUAAAUUUUCAGUGCCGUAGUUAACGCGUUAAGCACCCCGCCUGGGGAGUACGGUCGCAAGGCUGAAACUCAAAGAAAUUGACGGGGGCCCGCACAAGCGGUGGAGUAUGUGGUUUAAUUCGAUGCAACGCGAAGAACCUUACCCAGGCUUGACAUCCAGGGGACCUCUAGGAAAUUAGAGGGUGCCCUUCGGGGAGCCCUGAGACAGGUGCUGCAUGGCUGUCGUCAGCUCGUGCCGUGAGGUGUUGGGUUAAGUCCCGCAACGAGCGCAACCCUUAUCUUUAGUUGCCAGCGAGUAAAGUUGGGCACUCUAGAGAGACUGCCCCGGUUAACGGGGAGGAAGGUGGGGACGACGUCAAGUCAUCAUGGCCCUUACGCCUGGGGCUACACACGUACUACAAUGGUGCGCACAAAGGGAAGCAAGACCGUGAGGUGGAGCCAAUCCCAAAAAACGCAUCUCAGUCCGGAUUGGAGUCUGCAACUCGACUCCAUGAAGUCGGAAUCGCUAGUAAUUCGAGAUCAGCAUGCUCGGGUGAAUGCGUUCCCGGGCCUUGUACACACCGCCCGUCACACCACGGAAGUUGGUUUUACCCGAAGCCGGCGAGCUAACGAGCAAUCGAGGAAGUCGUCUACGGUAGGUCCGAUGAUUGGGGU